AGUUUGGCACACGCUUGCACUUUCGCCUGUCUCCUUCUCACAUGCUCCCAGAGAAGCUGGGACUGCAUCCUGCAUCCUUCUGCUUUUCCAGAUCUGAGACCUCGCACACUGCUGUGUCCCUUGAGAAGUCUCGGUGAGGUCAAGACAGCCCCAGACAAGUAAACGAGGGCUGCUCAACCCCAAUGUUGAGGAAACCGAAGGAACACUACCUACUACAGUGUGGAAACAACAAGAAUAGAAUGGAUGGUUUUAACAAGAAGGGUAAACCACUGCGACUCCACAUGAAGUUCUUAUCUUUACUGCAGUCUUGGGACCUGCAAGAGAUUUGACAAAAUAUGUAAUCUCUUAAUGACAAAAAAAAUGUAAGAAAGCGGCACAUUCUCUCCCUCGCACCUAGUACCUUCUGGAAAUACCUAAAAAUGAUGCUUUAUAAGUAGUAAAUCCAUGUGUGUACCAGCUUCCAAAGGACUACCAGCUUGGUGAGGAGGAUAAAGGAAACCUACAGCAGUCUAAGACACAGAGGAUUCAUGUUACAAGAAAAUUUAAGGCACAUUUUUAAAGUGGUAUGUGAAAGGUCACAUUCAUUCUGUAAGAGUAUGAGCUCAGGAGGAAUUUGAGACAUACUGGUCUCAAAAAUAACAUGCUGUUCUGUGUCUUUUGCUGUCAGGAUAAAUGAAAAAAAAACCCAACAAACUUAAGCCACAAUGAAUCCUAUAAUGGUCCCUUCAAAUUAUGGUCAAGCAGAAGUAUAAACCUUGAAGAACAAUUUUAAUGGAAAGCUUAUUGAAGUUUCUAACACUUAUGGGUGAAAUACACACAUGGUUAGGAACAUUAGAUUCUCAUCUUGCCUCUGCCCCAAUUUACUAGAUGAUUGUAUCUAUCUUGAAUUUUGCAAUCUAUAAUAUUAAUAUCAAUAUCUAAGUUAAUAUUAGUCUAUAAUAUUAGCCUGCAUUUUGGGGUGUGGAGAAUUAGUUGAUGGCUGUACAUGCUUUGUGUCAUACAUGUUUAGAGACAACAGAAAAAUGUCCCUAAGUGCAAAGUAUUAUUGAAAGCACUUCUUAUACAUGACACAAGGAUGGGAGAGACACCCUGGUUUAUCAUUUCAGGUACCGUAAUGGGACAUCAUCAGGUAUUACAAUGAUAUUUGUAAUAUCAUUGUAAACACCCAUACACUGCAAACUUAUACUAUACUAAUCAUCCCAUACAUUGCAAACCAAAUGUGCUUCAUUGUCCAGUACAGUCUUACAAUUUGCAGUACCAAAAAGCAAAAAGUCCUCAGACUGUGGUUUGCAAUAGGAAGAGAGCAGAAGAGAUUGAGCACAUGGUCAAGUAGAGUAUUGUCAAAUAGAGUAGCCUAAUCUUGGUUACUCCGUAGGGAUGAAUGUAUUUUAUAAGUUUUUAGAUUAGAUUUUUAAUAUUAUUUUGCCUCUCUGAGUGAUACUUUGCCAUACUAAAAGCUGUUUUUUCUUCAGCACAAUUAUAGUUGUGAGUGAAAGACACAAACACUUUCACACCUGAAGACACCCUAAAAGGAAAGCAAUCAUGAAUGACCCUUGUGGCAAGAUUUAUGGAAUUUUAAGUUUUAAUUGUGAUAUGAGAUUGAAAUUGAAGUUUGUCCUAUAGUUUGUGACCAUUGCAGAAGCCUGUGAAAACUAUAAAAUAUAAGUGUACUAAUCAGGAUAUUCCAACGUGGCUUGUUGCUGUGCUCUCAAGCCUGGUCAUCCUGACCUCUGAGCCAUCAGUUCGAUGUAUACUUACAGCUAAUUUAAAAUAUAGUUGUUAAAGACUAACAGUUCUGUAUGUGUAGUGAUGAUGAUUAGUGUAGUAUAAGUACUGUCUGUUACCAAGAAGUGUGUUGCUGAUGAAUGAAUUUAGAAAAAUUUUAGUUUUACUGUUUACAAGUGGCCUGAUUUCUCUCAGUUUUCUAAGCACUGUCAUUCCAGCAAUCUCUAAUUCCCUAAGUGAUAUAUAAUAUACAGAUAUAUUAAUUUGCAACAAGUUACAGUCACAGUGUAGCAUCUUGGCUGUGCCAAUGUGCAUACUCAGCACAAUCAUGAAUUCUGUGUGACUGAGGAACUCUACAGAUCAUUUCUGCUGCCUGAGACAAGUAAUUUGAGACAAUGGAUUGACAUGAUAUGAGGUGGUUAACUGAACUCCUAGUUGCCUUCACAACAAAGUAUUUGACAAACUAUUCCAGAAGCUCUCCAAGUGGGAAUUUCAGACAGUCCUGGAGAUUUCCCCAGACAGUUCCUGCUGUGUAUAAGCCAAUUGACAAGCACUAUUAGUGUGGUAUUGUCUCAGAGAUGCCCCCAGGUAGUUGCUACUGAAGAAUUGACAAAACUGUACAUAGAUAAGAUACUUGUGACUUGUCAUUAGAACUGUUCUUGCAGAUACAGAAAUGGUCGCACAUAACACUUAAGACAUCUAGACUAGGUUUACACACAUAAGACUGUGUGCCAGUUGUAUUAUAAGAACUCAGCAGACCAGCAGUUCAGUGAGUCUCAUCUGAUUCAGCUGAAGAUGCCUUUGCAAAGACACUUGCAACAGAGACUUACAGUGUCACUGUCCGGACAGCAGCUGAUCAACCUGUUUGAGAGAUUUGAUUUCCUAUGUGAAUAUUAUCUUAUGCAAAAAAUCCCAAUAAAUCAGGUUUUUUUAACAAACA